rnacentral:RNase_P_RNA from 1 species
GGGUUUGUACUUAGCUCCGGCAUUGCUUUAUGCUUUGCUGAGGAAAGUCCACCCACUGCAGCUACAAAGCUGUUGCGCUUACGCGCGAGCCACUCACGGAAGUGAGCCCUAGCAAUAGGGGGCAACCACUCAGAAACGAGACCGAUUGCAUUAAGGAUGAUGUUUGUGAAGAUGCCUGCGAGGGCAUCGAGCUAACCAAUUGACGUUUUUGCAAUAAUGGGUGAAACGGUGAGCCCUGACUGGUGCAAGUCCGCGAAUGCUUCAGCAUUCCAGCACGCUUAGUUUAAUGCUAAGGCAGGCUAUCGUGAUUGCAAUAAUCACACCAAGGGCCUGACAAAAGGUGGCUUAUUCAAGCCC